CCUAGGAACCCUACACUCGUAAUGAUCUUCCGUAGGGUGAACCUGCGGAAGGAUCAUUACCGAGUGUAGGGUUCCUAGCGAGCCCAACCUCCCACCCGUGUUUACUGUACCUUAGUUGCUUCGGCGGGCCCGCCAUUCAUGGCCGCCGGGGGCUCUCAGCCCCGGGCCCGCGCCCGCCGGAGACACCACGAACUCUGUCUGAUCUAGUGAAGUCUGAGUUGAUUGUAUCGCAAUCAGUUAAAACUUUCAACAAUGGAUCUCUUGGUUCCGGCAUCGAUGAAGAACGCAGCGAAAUGCGAUAACUAGUGUGAAUUGCAGAAUUCCGUGAAUCAUCGAGUCUUUGAACGCACAUUGCGCCCCCUGGUAUUCCGGGGGGCAUGCCUGUCCGAGCGUCAUUGCUGCCCAUCAAGCACGGCUUGUGUGUUGGGUCGUCGUCCCCUCUCCGGGGGGGACGGGCCCCAAAGGCAGCGGCGGCACCGCGUCCGAUCCUCGAGCGUAUGGGGCUUUGUCACCCGCUCUGUAGGCCCGGCCGGCGCUUGCCGAACGCAAAUCAAUCUUUUCCAGGUUGACCUCGGAUCAGGUAGGGAUACCCGCUGAACUUAAGCAUAUCAAUAAGCGGAGGAAAUG
rnacentral:rRNA from 1 species